rnacentral:rRNA from 1 species
CUCGGGCUAAUACCGAAUGUGCCCUCUGGCCGUAAGGCCUCUGGGGAAAGGAAGCUUCGGCCUCCGCAUCGGGAUGGGCCCGCGGCGCAUUAGCUUGUUGGUGAGGUAACGGCUCACCAAGGCGACGAUGCGUAGCUGGUCUGAGAGGACGAUCAGCCACACUGGGACUGAGACACGGCCCAGACUCCUACGGGAGGCAGCAGUGGGGAAUCUUGCGCAAUGCGCGAAAGCGUGACGCAGCAACGCCGCGUGGGGGAAGACGGCCUUCGGGUUGUAAACCCCUUUCAGUUGGGACGAAGCUUCAGCGGUGAAUAGCCGUUCGGAGUGACGGUACCUUCAGAAGAAGCCCCGGCUAACUACGUGCCAGCAGCCGCGGUAAUACGUAGGGGGCAAGCGUUGUCCGGAAUCAUUGGGCGUAAAGAGCGUGUAGACGGCUUGGUAAGUCUGCUGUGAACAGUCCAGGGGCUCAACCCUGGAAUGCCGGUGGAAACUGUCA